CGCGCGGGGAGCCCCACCGCGACGCCCAGUUAAGAGAGAGUUAAGGGAGGCUGCUCUUAAAGGGGCGACGCCGCCGCGUACCCGCGCGAGCUAGCGCGGCGAGGGCAGGAGCCCCGGGCGCUUCUUUAAAAGGGGAACGGCGCUGUACUGGGCGGGGUGCAGAGCGAAGGGAGAGGGAGGGGCGGACUGAGUGGAGCUGUCAACUCUGGCACCUCCCCGUCCCGCCCCAGGCUCCGGAGUGACAGGUGGCAUCGCAGCCCAGUCUUCAGACCCCAGGCCUGGUUACCAUCCAGCCCCAAAGAACUUUUGACUCCCAGAUGUCCCCUCCCCCAGGAAGUCCCGCAUCAACACUGCUGCCCUGCUGCACUACAAACAAAAGUCAGGAGGCUGCCAGAGCAGUGUGUCUGUGGGCUGCUGCAACCAAAGGCCUCUGACCCAGCCCUUCAGUCUCAGUCAGCUGGAGGCUCAGGCGUGGCUCUGCCACUACAAGGGACAGCUGGAUGCUAUUUCCAGGGAAAGCCUGCCUUUCUUCUUUCUGAGAAAUUUCAAGGACAUUGGGAGUUUGAACUGUUUAUUACCUUCCAAGGGCUGAGUGGGGGAAAAUAGCCAACUUCUUCCCCAGCCUGCUCCUUCAGCAGCCAGAGCUGGUGUAGAAGAAGGCAACCUGUCAGAUGAAACUUUCUAAGUUAAAAUCCCUGAAUCAUCUCUGGAAGUUGUCCCUUCUGCUCUCCCUUAUUCUAUGGCCUUCCUGGCAGGACCAAUCACACAACUAUUGCAAGGUGAAUUAUUCUUAUAGAUUUCAGGCAAGGCCAAUACAAAGCUUCCUUUGAUUCCUUUUCUGGAAUGCACUUCACUUCGUUUUGCUGCUCUGUAUUUCUGUUGUAAAUUAAACUACUUUUUUCUUGCUUGGUUCCCAGCAGAAUGGGAAAACAGCAUGUCACUCUUUUCUGAACUAAAGAAUAAUAUACUUGGAGCUCUUAUGCAAUUUUUCUUGCCCUAUUCUUCUCCAAACUAAACAGUGCCAGAUUCUUUAACCUGUCAUCAAUAAGCCCUAUUUAUUAUCUGGAUUUAUAUAGUGUCUUUUACCCCUGGAACUCAAAAUGCUUUCAAAUAUAAUUGAGCCUGAUCGCCCUAGUGCCUGAGCCAUUAAGAAACCAUUAGUGUAUUGCUGUUGCUGGCAACUAAAUGGCCCCCUAGUGGUCUGAAAGUGAAUAUACGUCUCUAAUUGUCUCUCCCCGCUCGGGGUAGGCAGAAAUCAGAAUCAGGGCAGUUUAGGGAUGCACUGGGUUAGAAAGGCCCUCCCUUGUGAAUACUCCCAUUGGUCUUAGUGCCUUCGCGGCAACAUCCCCAUGGAUCUUCAGAGAAAUGGCUGUUUAUGAUGGUGAAUUUUAUUGUCUGCUUCCUGGGACAGCCAUUUCAGUCUUUGGGAAGUUCUGACCAUUCAGAACAGCAGCAAGAACCAAAGUAGGCACUCUUCCAAGACCUGCAUUCUUGGUUCAUUGUCUCGCAACAAAGCAUCAGGUAGUUACUACUAAUCCUCAUUUUGUAGAAGAAGCUGCUUCAAAAAGGUUAAGGAACUUACUUGAGGUCUCAUAGAAUUCAAACCUAAAUCUGUCUGAAUCUAGGACCUUAGCUAUCCCCCAACCUCGGUACCAAACUCAGGACUUUACACUUACAAGGCAAGUGCAGCACCAGUGAGCUAAAUCCCCAGCCCUAGAACAUUAGGUUCUUGAUCGCUGCUCUGUUCUGGCUCAAAGGUGCAGCUGAACUUUGCAGUGGGUACAUGGGGCACUCCCAGGUCACCCUCAGAAUGGGACACAUUCCGCCUGCUGUUCUUGGGAAUCACCCUCAGGAACCAAAGGAAGCUGCCUUUUUCUCUGAAUCUAUAAGAGCAAUAAAUAGAAGCAAGUUGCACAAAUCCCUGCUGGAUGUAUUCAGGUCCUUCCCAGCAGGAAGAAGGAUAUUUUCCAAAGGAGCUACAGAGGUAGUCACUGUGUACUGGUAGAGCCAGGAGCAGGUGCAUAGGCAAAGGUGUAGGGGAAAGGAGAGGGGAGCUGAGUUAUGGACACCUUAUUGCAGAUACCCUGAUAAGGAUCCUGGAAGACAGAGUGAAUGGAAAUUCCACUCAGAACCACCAUUAUAGAAGGUGGAAGAAAUAUUCAAAAAGCUCAGAGAGCUAGGUCUAGUGGCAUACAGCUACAGUCUCAAGUACCAAGGCAGGAGAAGUGAAAGUUUGAACACAGCUUGGGCUACCUAGCAACUUAGUGAGAUCAUGUCAAAAUAAAAAAAAAAAUUAAAAAGGCUGGGGACGUAGGUCACUGUGAAGGUUCUGGGUUCAGUCUUCAAUACUAAUAAAAUUUUUAAAAUCUCAGAGGGUGGACGCGCUAUAGCGGGCAUUCUGUGUAGGGCCAGAAACCACUGUCAGUCCUGCAGGAAUGUCCAGGGGAUACUCUGGGAUCAAAGCAACAAGGAAUGACUGGUGGGAGGGGUACCAGCACCACAGAGUGGCUCAGUUUUGCUGUCCUUAGGAGGCCAGCAGGAGGCCCUCUUAGGACUGGCUUCCUGAGAGCACAGAGACAAGGGGUUCAUGAAAACAUAGAAGGUUAAUGUUGACAUAACUAUUGUAAUGAGCAACAAGUUGGAGUGGCGGUUGGGGAUCCUGACCAGGAGAGCUAUGGAGUGGUUAAUGUCAUCACAUCCCUGGGGCAAGCUGGCUGGGCAGCCAGUAGUGGUAUUGUUCAACUUAUACCUGUGGCUCUUGGCUUUCUUAGUUUUAGGAUCAUUUUACACUCUUAAAAAUUGAGGUUUGAGCUGGGUAUGGUGGCAUACGCCUGUAAUCCCAGCACUCGGGAGGCUGAGGCAAGAGGAUGCUGUGAGUUCGAGACCACCCUGGGCUAUGUAAUGAGUUCCAGGUCAGUCUCAGCUACAUAGUGAGACCCUGUCUCAAAAAACAAAACAACAACAACAAAAAAUUGAGGUUUGUAGAACCAGGUACAGUGGCCCAUGCCUGUAGUCCCAGCUACUUAGAGGCUGAAAUGGGAGAGUCACUUGAGCUCAUGAGUUUGAGACCAGCCUGGGACCGUAGUGGGACCCUUAUCUCAAAACAAAGCAAAAACAACCCCCCA
ensembl:lincRNA